GACGAACGCUGGCGGCGUGCCUAAUACAUGCAAGUUGAGCGCUGAAGGUUGGUACUUGUCCCCACUGGAUGAGCAGCGAACGGGUGAGUAACGCGUGGGGAAUCUGCCUUUGAGCGGGGGACAACAUUUGGAAACGAAUGCUAAUACCGCAUAAAAACUUUAAACACAAGUUUUAAGUUUGAAAGAUGCAAUUGCAUCACUCAAAGAUGAUCCCGCGUUGUAUUAGCUAGUUGGUGAGGUAAAGGCUCACCAAGGCGAUGAUACAUAGCCGACCUGAGAGGGUGAUCGGCCACAUUGGGACUGAGACACGGCCCAAACUCCUACGGGAGGCAGCAGUAGGGAAUCUUCGGCAAUGGACGAAAGUCUGACCGAGCAACGCCGCGUGAGUGAAGAAGGUUUUCGGAUCGUAAAACUCUGUUGGUAGAGAAGAACGUUGGUGAGAGUGGAAAGCUCAUCAAGUGACGGUAACUACCCAGAAGGGGACGGCUAACUACGUG
rnacentral:rRNA from 1 species